GAUGAACGCUGGCGGCGUGCCUAAUACAUGCAAGUCGAGCGAACGGACGAGAAGCUUGCUUCUCUGAUGUUAGCGGCGGACGGGUGAGUAACACGUGGAUAACCUACCUAUAAGACUGGGAUAACUUCGGGAAACCGGAGCUAAUACCGGAUAAUAUUUUGAACCGCAUGGUUCAAAAGUGAAAGACGGUCUUGCUGUCACUUAUAGAUGGAUCCGCGCUGCAUUAGCUAGUUGGUAAGGAACGGCUUACCAAGGCAACGAUGCAUAGCCGACCUGAGAGGGUGAUCGGCCACACUGGAACUGAGACACGGUCCAGACUCCUACGGGAGGCAGCAGUAGGGAAUCUGCCGCAAUGGGCGAAAGCCUGACGGAGCAACGCCGCGUGAGUGAUGAAGGUCUUCGGAUCGUAAAACUCUGUUAUUAGGGAAGAACAUAUGUGUAAGUAACUGUGCACAUCUUGACGGUACCUAAUCAGAAAGCCACGGCUAACUACGUG
rnacentral:rRNA from 1 species